rnacentral:rRNA from 1 species
GUCAGCAGCCGCGGUAACACCGGCAGCUCUAGUGGUAACAAUUUUAUGGGCCUAAAGCGUCCGUAGCCGGUUUAAUAAGUCUCUGGUGAAAUCCUGUAGCUUAACUGUGGGAAUUGCUGGAGAUACUAUUAGACUUGAGACCGGGAGAGGUUAGAGGUACUCCCAGGGUAGAGGUGAAAUUCUGUAAUCCUGGGAGGACCGCCUGUUGCGAAGGCGUCUAACUGGAACGGUUCUGACGGUGAGGGACGAAAGUUAGGGGCGCGAACCGGAUUAGAUACCCGGGUAGUCCUAACUGUAAACGAUGCGGACUUGGUGUUGGGUGGCUUUGAGCUGCUCCGGUGCCGAAGGGAAGCUGUUAAGUCCGCCGCCUGGGAAGUACGGUCGCAAGACUGAAACUUAAGGAAUUGGCGGGGGAGCACCACAACGCGUGGAGCCUGCCGGUUUAAUUGGAUUCAACGCCGGACAUCUCACCAGAGGCGACAGCUGUAUGAUAGCCAGGUUGAUGACUUUGCUUGACUAGCUGAGAAGUGGUGCAUGG